rnacentral:ncRNA from 2 species
CCAAUAGCGUAUAUUAAAGUUGUUGCAGUUAAAAAGCUCGUAGUUGAAUUUCGGGGUUCAUCCGUUGGUCGGGCUUUUUUGGUCUGUACUGGCGUGAUGGAUUCCUACCUUCUGAAUAACCGGCAUGUCAUUAAUUUGGUGCGCCGGGGAAGCAGGACUGUUACCUUGAAAAAAUUAGAGUGCUUAAAGCAGGCUAUCGCCUGAAUACAUUAGCAUGGAAUAAUGAAAUAGGACGGCAUGGUUCUAUUUUGUUGGUUUCUAGGAUCACCGUAAUGAUUAAUAGGGAUAGUUGGGGGCAUUAGUAUUCAAUUGUCAGAGGUGAAAUUCUUGGAUUUAUUGAAGACUAACUUCUGCGAAAGCAUUUGCCAAGGAUGUUUUCAUUAAUCAAGAACGAAAGUUAGGGGAUCGAAGACGAUCAGAUACCGUCGUAGUCUUAACCAUAAACUAUGCCGACUAGGGAUCGGACGAUGUUAAUUUUUUAAUGACUCGUUCGGCGCCUUACG